rnacentral:lncRNA from 1 species
AUUCAUAAAAGAAACCUUCAUAAAGCUCAAAGCACACAUUGCACCUCAAACAAUAAGAGUAGGAGAUUUCAACACCCCACUCUCAUCAAUGGACAGAUCAUGGAAAGAGAAAUUAAACAGAGACAUAGAGAAACUCACAGAAUUUAUGAACCAAAUGGAUUUAACAGAUAUUUAUGGAAUAUUCUGUCCUAAAACAAAAGUAUAUAACUUCUUCUCAGCACCUCAUGGUACCUUCUCUAAAAUUGACCAUAUAAUCGGUCACAAAAUAGGUCUCAACAGAUACAGGAAGAUAGAAAUAAUCCCAUGCAUCCUAUCAGAUCACCAUGCACUAAGACUGGUCUUCAAUAAUGACAUUAACGAAAGAAAGCCCACAUGUACAUGGAAGUUGAACAACGCUCUACUCAAUGACAACUUGGUCAAGGAAGGAA